rnacentral:rRNA from 1 species
UACGUAGGCAGCAAGCGUUGUUCGGAAUUACUGGGCGUAAAGAGUGUGUAGGCGGUGUUCUAAGUCUGUUGUGAAAUCUCCCGGCUUAACUGGGAGGGUGCGGCGGAAACUGGAAUGCUAGAGGAUGGGAGAGGUAAGCGGAAUUCCUGGUGUAGCGGUGAAAUGCGUAGAUAUCAGGAGGAACACCGGUGGCGAAGGCGGUUCUCUGGGCCUUACCUGACGCUGAGGAGCGAAAGCGUGGGGAGCAAACAGG